rnacentral:lncRNA from 1 species
GGUUGUAGUUCCUCCGCCGGAGCGGGACCUCCGGUGCCCCGGGCCAGGGAUGUGAGAAAGAAGGGAGCCCUCGAGUUCCUCGGGGCCUGUGGGAAGGUUUUUUUCAGGAUCCAGGCAGAACCCUACAGAGCUGGGAGUUUUUUAACUUUCCAUUCCUGGCAGUGACGCCAGGAGCUUUAAGUGAUGGAAAUAUGCGAGUCAAUCAGUGGAUGGUGAACAAAGGAACAGUAAAUGGAGUAACUUGGCUAGAAUAUGGCAGUAACUACAAGGCAUGUUCUGCUCUGGCACGAAGGAAAGGCUAUUUGAAGACAGAGCAAGAAGGUAGUUAUCUACAAGCCAGGAAGAGAGUCCUCACCAAAACACAACCAUGCUG